rnacentral:rRNA from 1 species
UACGGGGGGAGCAAGCGUUGUUCGGAUUUACUGGGCGUAAAGGGCGCGUAGGCGGUCGUGACAAGUCACUUGUGAAAUCUCCGGGCUUAACUCGGAACGGUCAAGUGAUACUGUCGGACUAGAGUACAGAAGGGGCAACUGGAAUUCUCGGUGUAGCGGUGAAAUGCGUAGAUAUCAGGAAGAACACCCGUGGCGAAAGCGGCUCUCUGGAACGGGUACUGGACGCUGAGACGCGAAAGCCGUGGGGAGCGAACAGG